rnacentral:rRNA from 1 species
UACGUAGGGGGCAAGCGUUGUCCGGAAUUAUUGGGCGUAAAGCGCGCGCAGGCGGUGCGUUAAGUCGGAUGUGAAAGGCUACGGCUCAACCGUAGAGCUGCAUCCGAAACUGGCGGACUUGAGUGCAGGAGAGGGGAGUGGAAUUCCCGGUGUAGCGGUGGAAUGCGUAGAGAUCGGGAGGAACACCAGUGGCGAAGGCGACUCUCUGGCCUGUAACUGACGCUGAGGCGCGAAAGCGUGGGGAGCAAACAGG